rnacentral:snRNA from 1 species
GUAUUCACUUUGGCAGCACGUAUACUGAAAUUGGAACCACACAGAGCACUUUAGCAUGGCUCUUGUGCAAGAAUGACAGCACAUUCAUGAGGCUGAGGCAUUCCACAUUAAA